AGCCUGAUGCAGCCAUGCCGCGUGUGUGAAGAAGGCCUUCGGGUUGUAAAGCACUUUCAGUAGGGAGGAAAGGGUAUUGCUUAAUACGCAAUAUCUGUGACGUUACCUACAGAAGAAGGACCGGCUAACUCCGUGCCAGCAGCCGCGGUAAUACGGAGGGUCCGAGCGUUAAUCGGAAUUACUGGGCGUAAAGCGUGCGCAGGCGGUUUGUUAAGCCAGAUGUGAAAUCCCCGGGCUCAACCUGGGAAUUGCAUUUGGAACUGGCGAACUAGAGUCUUGUAGAGGGGGGUAGAAUUCCAGGUGUAGCGGUGAAAUGCGUAGAGAUCUGGAGGAAUACCGGUGGCGAAGGCGGCCCCCUGGACAAAGACUGACGCUCAUGCACGAAAGCGUGGGGAGCAAACAGGAUUAGAUACCCUGGUAGUCCACGCGGUAAACGAUGUCUACUCGGAGUUUGGUGCCUUGAGCACUGGGCUCUCAAGCUAACGCAUUAAGUAGACCGCCUGG
rnacentral:rRNA from 1 species